GACGACGCUGGCGGCGUGGAUUAGGCAUGCAAGUCGAACGGUAUCAUCCUUUCGGGGGUGAGAGAGUGGCGAACUGGUGAGUAACACGUAGGUUAUCUACCCUCAAGACGGGGACAACCCCAGGGAAACUUGGGCUAAUACCGGAUGUGAGCAACUUUUAGUUGUUUGAAGGGUGGCGUAAGCUGUCGCUUGGGGAUGAGCCUGCGUCCUAUUAGUUAGUUGGUGAGGUAACGGCUCACCUAGGCAAUGAUAGGUAGGCGGCCUUAACGGGUGGUCGCCCACACUGGGAUUGAGAUACGGCCCAGACUCCUACGGGAGGCAGCAGUCGAGAAUAGUCUACAAUGGUCGGAAGACUGAUAGUGCGACGCCGCGUGAACGAUGAAUCCCUUCGGGGUGUAAAGUUCUUUUAUAUGUGAGCAGUGCUUCUUAUAUUAACAGUAUGGGGAGAGAGAUAUUAGCAUAUGAAUAAGCAACGGCUAACUCCGUG
rnacentral:rRNA from 1 species